rnacentral:rRNA from 1 species
AGAGUUUGAUCCUGGCUCAGGAUGAACGCUAGCGACAGGCUUAACACAUGCAAGUCGAGGGGCAGCACAGGUAGCAAUACCGGGUGGCGACCGGCGCACGGGUGAGUAACGCGUAUGCAACUUACCUAUCAGAGGGGGAUAACCCGGCGAAAGUCGGACUAAUACCGCAUGAAGCAGGGGCCCCGCAUGGGGAUAUUUGCUAAAGAUUCAUCGCUGAUAGAUAGGCAUGCGUUCCAUUAGGCAGUUGGCGGGGUAACGGCCCACCAAACCGACGAUGGAUAGGGGUUCUGAGAGGAAGGUCCCCCACAUUGGUACUGAGACACGGACCAAACUCCUACGGGAGGCAGCAGUGAGGAAUAUUGGUCAAUGGGCGUAAGCCUGAACCAGCCAAGUCGCGUGAGGGAUGAAGGUUCUAUGGAUCGUAAACCUCUUUUAUAAGGGAAUAAAGUGCGGGACGUGUCCCGUUUUGUAUGUACCUUAUGAAUAAGGAUCGGCUAACUCCGUGCCAGCAGCCGCGGUAAUACGGAGGAUCCGAGCGUUAUCCGGAUUUAUUGGGUUUAAAGGGUGCGUAGGCGGCCUUUUAAGUCAGCGGUGAAAGUCUGUGGCUCAACCAUAGAAUUGCCGUUGAAACUGGGGGGCUUGAGUAUGUUUGAGGCAGGCGGAAUGCGUGGUGUAGCGGUGAAAUGCUUAGAUAUCACGCAGAACCCCGAUUGCGAAGGCAGCCUGCCAAGCCAUGACUGACGCUGAUGCACGAAAGCGUGGGGAUCAAACAGGAUUAGAUACCCUGGUAGUCCACGCAGUAAACGAUGAUCACUAGCUGUUUGCGAUACAGUGUAAGCGGCACAGCGAAAGCGUUAAGUGAUCCACCUGGGGAGUACGCCGGCAACGGUGAAACUCAAAGGAAUUGACGGGGGCCCGCACAAGCGGAGGAACAUGUGGUUUAAUUCGAUGAUACGCGAGGAACCUUACCCGGGUUUGAACGCAUUUCGACCGCUCUGGAAACAGAGCCUCUAGCAAUAGCGAUUUGCGAGGUGCUGCAUGGUUGUCGUCAGCUCGUGCCGUGAGGUGUCGGCUUAAGUGCCAUAACGAGCGCAACCCUUGCCACUAGUUACUAACAGGUGAUGCUGAGGACUCUGGUGGGACUGCCAGCGUAAGCUGCGAGGAAGGCGGGGAUGACGUCAAAUCAGCACGGCCCUUACAUCCGGGGCGACACACGUGUUACAAUGGCGUGGACAAAGGGAAGCCACCUGGCGACAGGGAGCGAAUCCCCAAACCACGUCUCAGUUCGGAUCGAAGUCUGCAACCCGACUCCGUGAAGCUGGAUUCGCUAGUAAUCGCGCAUCAGCCAUGGCGCGGUGAAUACGUUCCCGGGCCUUGUACACACCGCCCGUCAAGCCAUGGGAGCCGGGGGUACCUGAAGUCCGUAACCGCGAGGAUCGGCCUAGGGUAAAACUGGUGACUGGGGCUAAGUCGUAACAAGGUAGCCG